rnacentral:rRNA from 1 species
UACGAAGGGUCCUAGCGUUGUUCGGAGUUACUGGGCGUAAAGCGCUUGUAGGUGGCUUUGUAAGUUAAAUGUGAAAGCCUGGGGCUUAACCUCAGAAGUGCAUUUAAUACUGUAAAGCUUGAGUACGAGAGAGGAUGAUGGAAUUCCUGGUGUAGUGGUGAAAUACGUAGAUAUCAGGAGGAACAUCGGUGGCGAAGGCGGUCAUCUGGCUCGAUACUGACACUGAGAAGCGAAAGCGCGGGGAUCAAACAGG